AAUCUUGAAGAAUUUUGGAUAGAUUUUAACAUUGGUAGUAGAAGUAUAUCUUUCUAUGUGUCAGCAGUUGAUGCUAAAAAGAUUCAAAGAAAUUAUUAACAAUAAGUCUCAAAAGCCCGAUGAGUGUGGGAGAUCAAGGAGGAGAGAAAUUUUUUUUAUAUUUUGAUUCAAUCUUGGAAAUCAAAGAUGUAACCAGAAAGAUUUAUGGAGUACAUAAAUGUAAGGUUCUGGUACCAGAAAGUCAGUUGUCACCAGGUUUGGAGGAAAAAGGUGAAGUGGAAGAGAAAUUCAGGGAGUCCAAAAACCAGCAACUUCCUGGAWCCCUGAGGACUCUGAAUAAAAAGCACACUGAAGACAUGUGCAAAGAUGCUUCCUCCAAGAUAAUCACGUCUUGUAAAAGGAAAGUGUCUGAAGCAUCAGUGGUUAUUCCUGGAACUACAAGACUUUCUACAAGGAGUCCACUGGAAUUUUUURGUACAUGUAAGUUGACGAGUACUUUCAGGGUAAAAGUAUGCUAUAAAUAGUCUUUGAAAAUGCAUUGUUAAUUAGUUUCUACAUGAGAUAAUAUGUACUGUUAGGUGACAUCUAUGCAAAUGGCUGAUGGAGAUGAACAUAAUACAAGCAUGAAUUGUAAUCCAUUGCAGACCUGGAACGAAGGGGAGAACAGAACUCAGAAUCUCCCCAGCAGAUGCUUUAGUCUUGACAUUUUUCAACUAGUCUACUUGCUACCUUUCCAUAACAUGAUGCAGAAUAGC
ensembl:lncRNA